GAUGAACGCUGGCGGCGUGCUUAACACAUGCAAGUCGAACGGACCAAGAGAAGCUUGCUUCUCUUGGUUAGUGGCGGACGGGUGAGUAACGCGUGGGUAACCUGCCCUAUGCAGGGGGAUAACACUGGGAAACCAGUGCUAAUACCGCAUAAUAUAAGAGGUUCACAUGAACUUCUUAUCAAAGAUUUAUCGGCAUAGGAUGGACCCGCGUUGGAUUAGCUAGUUGGUGAGAUAACAGCCCACCAAGGCAACGAUCCAUAGCCGGCCUGAGAGGGUGAACGGCCACAUUGGGACUGAGACACGGCCCAAACUCCUACGGGUGGCAG
rnacentral:rRNA from 1 species